rnacentral:misc_RNA from 1 species
CAAUUAUCAAACUGAGAUGCAUUUUUUGUGUCUCAGGUUGGUGUUGGGCUUUGCAGUCCCUUUGAUCGGGACGGCUGGCCUCAAAAGCAUUAGCUGGCCCUUCAUGUGGGGAUUGGUUCUACUCAGCGUGAUAAUGAUCUGACCGCCGAGGAGAGACAUCUUUUGAUCGAGAUGGCCAAUUCUCAUUUGGGCUGCUUCUAAUCAUGGUUUUUGGUCGUACAGAGCCUGAUCCCUCUGUCUUCCACUAAUCUUGGUUGAGCAAGAUACUGGCCACAUCUUCUCAUCCAUAUUUUCAGC